rnacentral:rRNA from 1 species
UGGGAAAUUUUGGACAAUGGGGGCAACCCUGAUCCAGCAAUGCCGCGUGUGUGAAGAAGGCCUUCGGGUUGUAAAGCACUUUUGUCCGGGAAGAAAUCGCACCUGAUAAUACCGGGUGUGGAUGACGGUACCGGAAGAAUAAGGACCGGCUAACUACGUGCCAGCAGCCGCGGUAAUACGUAGGGUCCAAGCGUUAAUCGGAAUUACUGGGCGUAAAGCGUGCGCAGGCGGUUGUGCAAGACCGAUGUGAAAUCCCCGGGCUUAACCUGGGAAUUGCAUUGGUGACUGCACGGCUAGAGGGUGUCAGAGGGGGGUAGAAUUCCACGUGUAGCAGUGAAAUGCGUAGAGAUGUGGAGAAAUACCGAUGGCGAAGGCAGCCCCCUGGGAUAACACUGCCGCUCAUGCACGAAAGCGUGGGGAGCAAACAGG